GGUGGGUGUUAUACCAUGGUUGAUAUUAUGCACAAGAGUGAGCAAGGUUGUCGCUCGACUCGUCAAGUAGAAGCUAUUCAUCUGACUGAGUUCUUGCCACACACCUUAACAAAACGAAUGCUUCUGUUUUCUUAAGAACGAAAGAAAACUGAUGGAGCAUAUUGCAUUCUCAUAGAAGCAACAAAGGAUGAAGAACUUGGCAUACGUUUUAGAAUUUAAAAGAGUGCUUUUGUGUUUUAUCUUUGGUCCCGUUGUUGAACUUGUAUAUUGAAGUUUUGGGUAUACCACAUAUAUUUUGACCAGAAUAGCAGUUUUCUGCACAUUUCAGGCUAACUUUUAAUAUAUAUGUACCUUUUUUUUAUAACAGCAAACUAUGCUGGUGAAUGAAUAACAAGUUACAAAAGAGUAACUAGCAUUGUGAUCCAAG
rnacentral:lncRNA from 1 species